rnacentral:rRNA from 1 species
AUACGGAGGGUGCAAGCGUUAUCCGGAUUCAUUGGGUUUAAAGGGUGCGCAGGCGGACUCGUAAGUCAGUGGUGAAAUCCCGGGGCUCAACCUCGGAACUGCCAUUGAUACUGCAAGUCUUGAGUUUGGUUGAAGUGGGCGGAAUGUAGCAUGUAGCGGUGAAAUGCAUAGAUAUGCUACAGAACACCGAUCGCGAAGGCAGCUCACUAAACCAACACUGACGCUCAGGCACGAAAGCGUGGGGAGCGAACAGGAUUAGAUACCCGAGUAGUCC